GUAAAAGAAGCAUGAAGGUAGAGGUCAAAGACAAAAGAGAGCAAUCUGAAAAAUAGUUCAACUGAAAAGCUCUAGGAAAAGAAUACAGACAACUAUGGAAUACAAGAAAGAAUCAGAUAGCAGAAAACAACUCCGAGACCAUGUGGAUUCCAGCAACAGAGAGGAAUCGACAGGACUACUCCAGCCAUGAAGACAGAAGAGAAGCAGUCCAGAGAUGGAAGACGCCGACGUCACCUUGCCAUACUAGCAGUUAGCAGCUGUGCGUCACUGCAGGUUGCCCAGGACCAAACCAGAGAGAGUCGGACCUGCAUUACCACCAUUUGUCCACC